GGGGAAUAUUGCACAAUGGGGGAAACCCUGAUGCAGCGACGCCGCGUGGAGGAAGAAGGUCUUCGGAUUGUAAACUCCUGUUGUUGAGGAAGAUAAUGACGGUACUCAACAAGGAAGUGACGGCUAACUACGUGCCAGCAGCCGCGGUAAAACGUAGGUCACAAGCGUUGUCCGGAAUUACUGGGUGUAAAGGGAGCGCAGGCGGGAGAACAAGUUGGAAGUGAAAUCCAUGGGCUCAACCCAUGAACUGCUUUCAAAACUGUUUUUCUUGAGUAGUGCAGAGGUAGGCGGAAUUCCCGGUGUAGCGGUGGAAUGCGUAGAUAUCGGGUGGAACACCGGUGGCGAAGGCGGCCCUCUGGGCCGAGACCGACGCUGAGGCGCGAAAGCUGGGGGAGCGAACAGGAUUAGAUACCCUGGUAGUCCCAGCCGUAAACGAUGGACGCUAGGUGUGGGGGGACGAUCCCCCCGUGCCGCAGCCAACGCAUUAAGCGUCCCGCCUGGGGAGUACGGCCGCAAGGCUAAAACUCAAAGGAAUUGACGGGGGCCCGCACAAGCAGCGGAGCAUGUGGCUUAAUUCGAAGCAACGCGAAGAACCUUACCAGGUCUUGACAUCCAGCUAACGAAGUAGAGAUACAUUAGGUGCCCUUCGGGGAAAGCUGAGACAGGUGGUGCAUGGUUGUCGUCAGCUCGUGUCGUGAGAUGUUGGGUUAAGUCCCGCAACGAGCGCAACCCUUACUAUUAGUUGCUACGCAAGAGCACUCUAGCAGGACCGCCGUUGACAAAACGGAGGAAGGUGGGGAUGAUGUCAAAUCAUCAUGCCCCUUAUGACCUGGGCCUCACACGUACUACAAUGGCCGUAAACAGAGGGAAGCAAUACCGCGAGGUGGAGCAAAACCCUAAAAACGGUCCCAGUUCGGAUUGCAGGCUGCAACCCGCCUGCAUGAAGUUGGAAUUGCUAGUAAUCGCGGAUCAGCAUGCCGCGGUGAAUACGUUCCCG
rnacentral:rRNA from 1 species